ACAUUUCCUAAAAUUGAAGACGGAAAAUAUUAGGAUCUGGGUUCACAUACAAAAGUCGUUAUUUAAAAUUAAGGUAGGCUAUAGCUAGUGUGAGAUUUAAAAAUAUUAAGCCUAAACCAUUUAAAUUAUAGCCUAUUAUUUUACCGAAAUACUUAACUAUUGUGAUACAGACACAGGAAGUCGUUUAAAAUCUAAACAAUAUAAAGCUUAAUUAGAAUUAUAAAUGUUUUGUCUCUUGAAAUCUGUUUUAUUUAAGCGUCUUCAAAAAAAGUGACAUUAUCCCAUAUUUAAAUAGUAUUAAUUUAUUAAUUCAUCUAAAUGCAAAAUGUAUCAACGUGGAUAAAACAGUGUAUUAUAAUUAAAGCUACGUCUAUUCAAAAUCUAUGCAGUAAAGGACUUCAAGGCCUUUACUGAAAUAUCCGACAUCACGCAAAAACUUCCACCGCAAAUUCGCAAAGUUCCUUGAUUCAAAAUUUAAGACUCCCUAAAGCGAUCGAUUCGUGUUGUCCAUCGAUUUAAAGCGGUGUAAAAAUGAGGCAAAAAAUAGUGAAUUUAUCCACUUUAUCUAUUUUCAUUUUUAUUGUAACCCCGCCUCAUGAAUAUUAAUGAGUGGCUAAUCCCCACUUAGAAUUACAUUUCAGAAUAGUGUCCGUAAAGUUUAAUAGGCAGACGGAGAGCAAACGUGAAAGGGAGUGAAGAAAAACUCGGCCCUUCCAGAAAAAAACACGAAAUCAGCACACAGAGAGAGUCUGAGCCUCAGAGAAUUAAAGAAAGCACCUUUCAAGCCUCACUUUCCCAAAGAAAUGCCAAUAAAAUACGGUAACAGAAUAUCACGGAGGGCGCGGUGUUUCCUUAACUGUUUCUGAAAGGCUCAGAAGAUCUUAAUAAGGCUCGGCUCGGUCCUUUUGUUGAUCUCACAAAAUCAACUCAUUCUAAUUGAGGCUUGAGCUGAAAGCGACCUAAUGUUCAAAGCAAGUGACCGCCGGAGGAACGAAAUUACAUUUUUACUAUAUGGGGCAUCCAAUCAAAGACCGGGCGGCUUUACGCGUUCUUCUAUAGAUCAACAAAGUCAUCGACAAAAGUAGCCUGCUCUUGGAAGUAACAGAGAUGCCGCUGUUAGCCGUCAAUAGACGCGAAAAAACUAAAGAGAACGUUAUUGGAUAGGCCUAGGACUGCGUACGGUGACAGAAUGCGCAUAUUAAUGUUUAUACUGCCUGUUUAAUGCACAAGUGUUGGUCCCAGGCCCCCCAGAAAGGCCGAUUCCACCUGUUCUGAAACUAUUUACACGAAUAAUAAUAACAAAAUGUGAUCCUUAAAUCCAUUCAAUAGAAAUAUAUAAAAUUCCUGCGUUUUGUCCGUUUGCCAUUUUUUUCUCUUGGCUCUGAUGUUGCUGAGACCCCGUGAUAAAGCCAGAACAAGUAGGCUAUCAAGUUAUCAGGUUGCAAGAAGCUUUUGUAAUAAGAGUAUUUUGUCUAAUCCCAAAUUGCAGCCGAAUUUUCUAAAUGCUGAGCUCGUAAAUCUCGGGAUUAGAGGAGGCGAGAAGAGGAGGGGGAAAAGUUUGGUUUCUUUAGCCGGCAGGAUGGGAGUGGGUCGGCGAUGUUGUCGGUCCUUAUUAAAACGACGAUGCAUUAAAAUACGAUACUGAAGCUCGUACAGAAGGCUCGGUACCGAUUCCACCGGUGUAUUUUCGGACGAGAGAAGGAUUUUCGGCGGUCGAGGGACUUCGUGAAGUCCUACAGCAGAACACCUGAAGUCAGGCCGAGGACUUCAAAGCACCCGGAUCCACAGAACGCGCUCUGGGACGCGCGCAUCUGUCCUCGCGCUGGGAUGCUCUACUUUUUGCUACAUAGCUCCUUUUUUAUAUAAGAAUAUCUAUUUUAAAAGCUUUUGAAGAUAUUUUUGUUCCCAAUAAAAAUAUACUGUCGGUUUGAGCCUGAAAACUAUGAUCAACGAUCAGCAUUCUCAGCCAAAAAGCCACAGAUCCUCCCCUUCACCUCCGGCAGAGGCCGCAUGCAGCUGUCAAUCAAGCAGGAGUGGCACCGCCCCCCUCAUUAAGAAGGUAAACAAUGAAUAUGGACGCAGAGGGACACGGCAGAGUAAACGAGCGAUUGGAGCGCGCCAGAAAAAACUAGCGGAAGUUGCUGCUGCCUCCUUCUUCUCUAUUUUCCUCAAAGAAGCGAUGGAUGAAGGCUGUUUAGAGAUGGUGGUGGUUGUGGGGGGGGGGGGGGGUCAAUCCUUUUUGGAUUACUCCCCUCUUUCUCUCUCUCUCAUUGCCCUGGGCAAUCACGUUAAAACUCACAUGGUUGGUGCUUAUUCAGAUAACCCUAACAAUGCACACCAAUGGUAACCAUGUGAGCACUCACAACCCACAGAAGAAUGCGCUGGUUCAAAUCCCCAUGACCCUCCUCCACAGCAAAAUUUAUUCAAGAGUGCAACCUGCUCGGCAGAGCUUCUUCUGAGAGUUCUGCUGAAAUAUCACUAAACACAAACUUUACAUGCAUGUUCUGCUCGCUUUAGUGUAUGGAAACGUGAAGCAAACUUUUGGACAGUGUGGAGUUUUUUUUUUUAGUUAGAACUUUUUUCGGAGGAAGUAAGAGAAAGUAAGUAGUGUUGGAGGAAUCCAGGAAAUAAUGCAUGAUCUUAUUACAGCAGAUUUGGGCGAGUACUGGGCAGGCUGGGAGCUCCGGCAUAAGAUGGAGCUGGAUAGAAGCCAGCUGGGAAUGAGACAAAGACCAACAUGGAAAACCAUGACAAGGAGGAUGACGGGACAACGGUCUCUGGAUUCUUACCACGCUAUUCCCAAACCACAUCUCCCAUCUGUUAUAUCAGAUACAAAUAAAGUGACUAUCAAAAACAAACCAAAUACACAAUGUCUUUGUCUAAAUGUUUGAAUAACUAAUCUGCAUCUUGUGUUUUUGUGCAUGCAUAUAAGUGAUGUAACUAAUUUGGUUUUUGAGAAAUAGGGAAAAAUUCAAUUAAGCAAAGUUAAAAUGCUGAGAAAAAACAAUCUGUAAACCAUUUAAUAAAUAAAUCUAAAAAUACUAAAAAUAAA